GUGGACUCCUGGCAUUAAUGAAAUGAACAGAAACACAUGUUCCAUUGAUACAGGAUCUGUGGCAUCAUCACGGAAACCCAGACUUUGAGCAGAAGAAUGGGGACUCGGAAGAUUUAAUAAUGUGCACCUCAUGCCUGCUUUCUCCUCCAGCCAGUCUAACCUGCUUGUGAUGAUCGCCAAGAGAGUCCUGUGAACGCCCCAGGAUCAGCUUCCUGCCGCUGACGAAAG